rnacentral:rRNA from 1 species
CCCAGACUCCUACGGGAGGCAGCAGUGGGGAAUAUUGGGCAGUGGGCGCAAGCCUGACCCAGCAACGCCGCGUGAAGGAAGAAGGCUUUCGGGUUGUAAACUUCUUUUCUCAGGGACGAAGAAAGUGACGGUACCUGAGGAAUAAGCCACGGCUAACUACGUGCCAGCAGCCGCGGUAAUACGUAGGUGGCAAGCGUUAUCCGGAUUUAUUGGGUGUAAAGGGCGUGUAGCCGGGCUGACAAGUCAGAUGUGAAAUCCGGGGGCUCAACCCCCGAACUGCAUUUGAAACUGUUGGUCUUGAGUAUCGGAGAGGCAGGCGGAAUUCCUAGUGUAGCGGUGAAAUGCGUAGAUAUUAGGAGGAACACCAGUGGCGAAGGCGGCUUACUGGACUGUAACUGACGUUGAGGCUCGAAAGCGUGGGGAGCAAACAGGAUUAGAUACCCGAGUA